UAAAGAAAAACGCUGAAUCCAUACAGAGCGGGGGACCCAUGAUUUUGUGUAUGUAAUACUUGGGGUGAAUCCUUUUUUGAGGUAGGGCUACUCUUAUGGCCCGAAUCCGACAGCUAACUCCGUAAGCGUAGUGAGAGGGAAA
rnacentral:sRNA from 2 species